rnacentral:lncRNA from 1 species
UCUCCUAUUUUAAACUAUGGAAUCGGAAUGGAAUUCAUUGAUUCCGAUAGUUACCCUUUGUUUUACAGGAAUCGGAUUCCGACCAUUCCACUUUGGAAUGGGAAUGGUCAAAUCCAUUUAUGAUCCAAUCCGACUUUGAAUUCCAGAUUGGCUCAUUCCAAAGUAAACUAUUCAAAAUUCUCUUUCAUCAACACCUACCUCUUCUCCCUUCAUCACUUUCCUCUAUCUUAAUCAAAACCCUCUCUCAAAAAUUUUAAAUUUUCAUUCCGAUUUCCAUUCCAAUAAUGAACCAAACAUUUUUGGAUGAUUCGUCAUUCUAUUUUCCAUUCCAAAGCAAUCCAAUUUUAUUUUCCAUUUCUAUUCCAAUCAUGAACCAAACAUGCCCUUAUGAUCCAAUCCGGCUUUGAAUCCCGGAUUGGCUCAUACCAAAGUAAACUAUUCAAAAUCCUCUUUCAUCAACACCUACCUCCUCUCCCUUCAUCACUUUUCUCUCUCUUAAUCAAAACCCUCUCUCAAAAAUUUUUAAUUUUUAUUCCGAUUUUCAUUCCAAUAAUGAAUCAAAUAUUUUUGAAUGAUUCAUCAUUCCAUUUUUCAUUCCAAAGCAAUCCAAUUCCAUUUCCUAUUGCUAUUCUAAUCAUGAACCAAACAUGCCCUAAAAAUAAUUCAGUCUGAUCAUAAU